rnacentral:lncRNA from 1 species
GGACGGGGGAGCGCGCCCGCCUUUUCGGCGGGAAACCGCUCCCGGGCUCAAUGCGCGUGCGCAGUGGCGAGAGCCGAGCUGAGGGAAGCUUCGGCUGUUCCCGGCAGGUUCCGGAGACGAGAGUCUCGCUGCUCCCCGCCCUCAUCCCUUCGGGUAUCUCCGCCCCCGCUUCGCCUAUCUCCGCCCCCGCUUCGGCUAUCACCGCCUCUCUUCGUUAAGUUCCGCCGCCACUUCGGCAACUUCCGCCGGUUCGGUCGGAAAUGGCCGAAGACGUGCGAGACCCAGCGGUUUAAGGGGAGAAGACCGGCCGGCUUCUCGGAAUAAACCAACUGUGUCCGGCCCGUGGGGGGGGGAGCAGGGGAGGGCGGACGGAGCGGGAAGACGAGACAGCGGCUAUGGCUCCCCCCCCAGCCACUCGCGGCUCCGCCGGGAGGGCGAAGUGAGGGCGCCGAGAGGCAUCUCUCCUAGGAAGACCUUGGUGCUUCUAAAUGAAUCUGCCGCCUACCUUGUGUGCCAUCAUUUGAAUGUGGGCAUUGAGGAGGAGCCAGCUAUUGGAAAAGCAGCCAGAGAUGGAUGCCCUGGAAAGGUGCCACUAAUUCCUGUGGCAGCUGACAAUUAGCUGUUAAGCCUUGCCUUGCAAAGUUCUCAAGGGUGCAUCCCGAAACAAAAACAAGGACCUGGAGAAAGGGGAGAGCUGUCCUUGUACCGAUCUUGUGGGGUGGUUGUUAAAAGCAGGAGGUGGAGCUGAUUCUGAGGUUGUUCCUUUCCAGCAGAGCAGGUCAGAUUUGCUGGACCCAAAAGCAUUUUGGUUUGUUUUGCUGCUGGGCUCUGUGAUAGUCCACAAACUUCUUACACUCCUUAUCUUUAAAAUAGGUUUGAGGCUGCCGUUCUUCACAGGGAAAGCUGUAAAUUAGUAACAUCUUCAAAGUGUCAUUGUUGAUGUGAAUCUGAGAAUUUUUAACAAAAAUCAAGAUGUAAUAAAAAAAAGAUUCAAAGAAAU